rnacentral:pre_miRNA from 1 species
CAGUUGAAUUUGAGAUCUGGAUGGGACCAAAUCUUAUUGCAGAUCGCGUGAGACAAGAUUUGGCUCUCUCCAGUAUCUCAUGUUCACUUG